CGGUCGAAGCGGCCGUGAGAAAUCGAACAUCUCCACCGCUGGAUUAUUUUCUGAUCCCCUCUAGCUUAUUCUCUCUCAUCUUCUCCCCCAAUCCUCAUUGUUGACGCCCUCCUCUUCCUCCUGGCCACUGCGCCGCCGGCACGCCCCUCCUCUUCCUCUCAAAUUGGCUGGCGAUGGGGAGGACCUCUCCCUCCUAAGCCGGCUGGAGGCACGGAGGAGCAGCUGCAUGCGGCCCUCUCCCUCCCGAGGUGGCUGGGGGCGCGGAAGAGGAGCAGCAGGCGGCCCUCUCCCUUCGGAGGCCUAUGGCGACGCGGAGGAGGAGUUGGGCCCCUUCCUCUCCCUCCCUCCCGAGGUGGAUGGCGGCAUGGAGGAGGAUCAGAACCUCCUCCUCUCCCUCCCUCUCGAGGCGGAUGGCGGCGCGGAGGAGGAGUUGGACCCCCUUCUCUCCCUCCCGCCCAAGGCGGCUCGCUCGCCGACGAGCUAGAGAAGAAUGGGCAGCUCGGCCCGCCCUGCGAUGGGUGGCUCGCUCCCAAGUCGUCGUCCGUGAGAUGGAGGUGCCUCCACAUUUUCUUCACCGGGUUCGUUGCCUACGGAUGCACGGCGGCGCCAGUUUUGGCCCCGCGGCCGGCACGCCGUGUCGCCGCCUAUUGGACCACGAAGCCAUGCCAGACAGCAAGGUGGUUCGCCCUGGUUUAUCUGUGCUGUCCUAUCUCCGCCGGCGUGCUACUUCACUCGAUGGCGGCGCUGCAUGGACCUUAUUCUUCGUUCCAUAGCGUCAUAAUUGCUUCUGGCAGUCUGCAGUCAUAUGAGUGUGCGUGGUGGUGGUCGCCGGCGGGGCCGGCCUCCUUCUGUGUCACCUCCUCCACCGUCACGAUUCACAAGAUGUUGAUGUUGCUGUGUCUCACGUUCAUGAUGUCCAGCCCUUCCAGAAGUGCCUGUUCACCAUGAUAAGGCCUCCAGGUUGUGGGCGGGGCUGUGGUCGUUUUGUUCAGUUUGUAGCUCCUCAUGUUCCGCCUGCGAUUGAGGUGCCUUUGCAUACAUAGGUCUCCUCGCCAUCGGAGGCCGCCGCGCCACAUUUUCUGUCAUGUACUAUGGUGAGUUGCUCCAACUCCAGCCCUUACAGGUUGUCAAUAGUUGCUUUGAGCGGGGAAAAUAGGGGCCAAAGAUGGGAAUUUAAUUUUGACCUUGUGCUUGGAGGAAGUAUAUAUUCAGAUUUAGGUGAAUGCCAGAGCCUUUAGAUUUU